CAGAGUGGCAGAAGACACACAAACAUUUGCAAAAAGGUUAAACUCCUGCGAGCAAACCUUUACUUCAAGGUACUUUUGCUUGCGUGUUCCAGGCAGGGACCUUCUACACCUACUCCAGGGCCACAUCUGCCUGUUCCAGAUUUUAGGACCCUUUGGUGCUCCAGGAGAUCAGUAUCCUACAGUGCUUCGUGUUCAAGACUGUUGAAACAGAUUCCUGCUCCUUUCCCCACUACAUUGUUACCAGCUCAACCAGUGGAAGAAGUCACCGCCACCGGACUGCUCACUCAACUACAGGGAACAAAGAGGUUCUACAAGUUAGAGAUCCCACCACCAAUCUUUCUUAUGUGAUGUACUCAUGACCACACCUUAAGUGACACGUGAUCCAAAAAUGAUAACGUCAUCGGUGACGAUGUGGCAGUCUGAUCAUUCCAUGGGGUCCUUGUUUGUGUCCUCCACUUCUGUUGAGCAUGCCGCUGUGGCUGUCAGAGGAGCACGGGCACAAGUUUUCUGCAGCUUCUUUCUAAUCGAGCCACUGGGGUCGAAAAAGUCACGAGUCACGCAUCUCUGCCGGACCGA